CCGUGAUGGCUGAAAGGCUAGGCGACUGAUUGCAAACCAGUAUCAUGCGGGUUCAACUCCCGUUCACGGCUCCA
rnacentral:tRNA from 1 species